rnacentral:misc_RNA from 1 species
ACACCUCAACUCUCAUGGCUUGCCGUGAUGAGCUUGGACUCUGGGGGACUUGCUGGCCUAUGGUCGGCUCCUCUCAAAUGGAUCAGCUUGCCAGUGUUUGGUGGCAUCACAGGUGUGAUAACUAUCUGCGCUUGUGGUUUUCCAUCAGAUAGCCUUCAGUGAUGGAGGUUCGCUGGAGCUCAUAAAUGUCCCUCCUAAGUGAGGACAGCCCCUUGAAC